UUACGGCCACAUCACGUUGAAACACCGGUUCCCGUACGAUCACUGAAGUUAAGCAACGUCGUGUCUGUUCAGUGACUAAAUGGGAGAUCUCUUGGGAAUAUCAAGUGCUGUAAG